UGUCCAACCUGUACAAGUAUGUAUUAUUUUAUUUAUUUUAACUUCGUCCUCUUUCCUAUGGUGUUUCGUCCGUUUGUCUGCCUGAUCUUGUAUGCAUUGUUUUAGCGCAAGAGGAGGAGAGAUUCCAAAAAUGUGUAGGCGGCUCGUGAAGACGAUACAGAUGAAUGUGCGAAGGCUCACUUCCCUGAGGAGAGUUCUGUCGGAGUCCUGGAUAUUCUCCUGUGUCACCGCUCUUGUGGUCAGAGCGAUCUUCUCUGCUGUAUGCUCCCAGUACAUGGAGAGACUUCGUGAGAUGUGUCUUGACGUUAUUUUAUUCAUUUGGUUUUGGUGAUUACGAUUUAAAUGGUGAAUACGGAGGUGUCUUCAUCAAAGGUUCCCUAUGCAGGUUGUCCCACACAAGAGGAAGACGGGUU